rnacentral:rRNA from 1 species
UACGGAGGAUGCGAGCGUUAUCCGGAUUUAUUGGGUUUAAAGGGUGCGUAGGCGGAACAUUAAGUCAGCGGUAAAAUCGAGGGGCUCAACCCCUUUAAGCCGUUGAAACUGGUGAUCUUGAGUGGGCGAGAAGUAUGCGGAAUGCGUGGUGUAGCGGUGAAAUCCGUAGAUAUCAAGAGGAAUACUCAUUGCGAAGGCGACCUACUGGAACAUUACUGACGCUCAUGCACGAAAGCGUGGGGAGCAAACAGG